rnacentral:rRNA from 1 species
UCGAACGCGAAAGUGGAGCAAUCCAUGAGUAGAGUGGCAAACGGGUGAGUAACACGUGGGUGACCUGCCUUCGAGCGGGGGAUAACGUCCCGAAAGGGACGCUAAUACCGCAUAACAUCCUGCCUUUUAAGAGGUGGCGAUCAAAGCCGGGGAUUCGCAAGAACCUGGCACUUGAAGAGGGGCCCGCGCCUGAUUAGCUAGUUGGUGGGGUAAUGGCUCACCAAGGCAGCGAUCAGUAUCCGGCCUGAGAGGGCGGACGGACACACUGGGACUGAGACACGGCCCAGACUCCUACGGGAGGCAGCAGUGGGGAAUUGUUCGCAAUGGGCGCAAGCCUGACGACGCAACGCCGCGUGGAGGAUGAAGACCUUCGGGUCGUAAACUCCUUUCGAUCGAGACGAAUGGUUUCCGGGUGAACAAUCCGGAAAAGUGACGGUACCGAGAGAAGAAGCCCCGGCUAACUCCGUGCCAGCAGCCGCGGUAAUACGGGGGGGGCAAGCGUUGUUCGGAAUUACUGGGCGUAAAGGGCUCGUAGGUGGCCAACUAAGUCAGACGUGAAAUCCCUCAGCUUAACCGGGGAACUGCGUCUGAUACUGGAUGGCUUGAGUUUGGGAGAGGGAUGCGGAAUUCCAGGUGUAGCGGUGAAAUGCGUAGAUAUCUGGAGGAACACCGGUGGCGAAGGCGGCAUCCUGGACCAACACUGACACUGAGGAGCGAAAGCCAGGGGAGCAAACGGGGAUAGAUACCCCGGUAGUCCU